UACGUAGGGGGCGAGCGUUGUCCGGAUUUAUUGGGCGUAAAGAGCUCGUAGGCGGCUUGUCGCGUCGACUGUGAAAACCCACGGCUCAACUGUGGGCUUGCAGUCGAUACGGGCAGGCUAGAGUUCGGUAGGGGAGACUGGAAUUCCUGGUGUAGCGGUGAAAUGCGCAGAUAUCAGGAGGAACACCGGUGGCGAAGGCGGGUCUCUGGGCCGAUACUGACGCUGAGGAGCGAAAGCGUGGGGAGCGAACAGG
rnacentral:rRNA from 1 species